rnacentral:tRNA from 1 species
CAGGGAAUAGUUUAUUUAAAAUAUUAAUUUUGGAGAUUAAUGAAAGGGUUAUUGAUCUUUUCCCUGA